rnacentral:rRNA from 1 species
GACGGAGGAUGCAAGUGUUAUCCGGAAUCACUGGGCGUAAAGCGUCUGUAGGUGGUUUAAAAAGUCCACUGUUAAAGAUUGAAGCUUAACUUCAAAAAUGCCGUGGAAACUUUUAAACUUGAGUAUGAUAGGGGUAGAGGGAAUUUCCAGUGGAGCGGUGAAAUGCGUAGAUAUUGGAAAGACCACCGAUGGCGAAGGCAGCCUCCUGGGCCGACACUGACGCUCAUGCACGAAAGCGUGGGGAGCAAACAGG